CCUACGGGUGGCAGCAGUGGGGGAUAUUGCACAAUGGGGGGAACCCUGAUGCAGCGACGCCGCGUGGGUGAAGAAGCGCCUCGGCGCGUAAAGCCCUGUCAGCAGGGAAGAAAAUGACGGUACCUGAAGAAGAAGCCACGGCUAACUACGUGUCAGCAGCCGCGGGAAUACGUCGGGGGCAAGCGUGAUCCGGAUUUAAUGGGUGUUAAGGGGGCGCAGACGGCGAUGCAAGCAAGGAGUGAAAGCGCGGGGACCAACCCCGGGACGGCUGUUGGAACUGCGUGGCUGGAGUGCGGGAGGGGCAGGCGGAAUGCCUGGUGUAGCGGUGAAAUGCGUAGAUAUCAGGAGGAACACCGGUGGCGAAGGCGGCCUGCUGGACUGCAACUGACGUUGAGGCCCGAAAGCGUGGGGAGCAAACAGGAUUAGAUACCCCAGUAGUC
rnacentral:rRNA from 1 species